rnacentral:lncRNA from 1 species
CAAUACUUAAUUUUGUUUUGUGCACAAUUAGACAUUUCCACUUUAGUGCCUUUGUUGCCAGUUAUUUUGCGUUAUAUUGACUGAUGUGCCGUUCCCUUUCUCUGACUUUAGAACUACGAUGUUUCUAAUAGUAUACAAGUUUGCAAAUUGCUCCAUUGAACAAGCUUAGGACACAAGUGCUCUUCCCAACAGGUUAUUAUGUAAGUGCCGCAACUUCAAUCCAUCUAUUGGUAGCCUUUGCAAAGUUUAUGAUAGAUAUAGAAGCAUCAUAAUUGAACAUCUGCAUAUCUUAAAUAUUUUAGAAUUUACCUGCUAUUUCAUGAAUACGUUAUUUCAUGCAGUACAUAUAUGUGCUUCUUUUUCUCUAUUAAUAGUUUGACAUAUUGUUGUUAAUUGCCCUAAGAGAUCUUGAUUUUGCCUUUGUAUACAUUUCUUCUUGUAUCUUGCAUCUUGCCCAUUUGGAGAAGGUAUAAUAAAUUAUUAUUGCACCCGUCUAUUUUGUGACCAUUCAUGUAUGCGAUAUUGUUUUUCUUCGUUCCCUUCAUCUAUUAGCAAAAUGCACGCUAUUCUCCAUUAGGCGACUUUUCUUACACUUAUUUAUUCCUUGCAGAAUGUGGCAAUAGAGAUCAAUAUAUACACUCAGUUGUUUGCUUAUCCAAGAAGAACCAGUUAAGAAGCCGAGGUUAGCUUUGAAUUUUAGUGAUUUUGUUUGUUGUCGGUACCAUGUUCACAUCUUAUAAUUUCUUGAUCUACUAUUUGUUUCACAACUAAAUUUAUGAUUAGUUUGUAUCCAUGCAGAGGGAACACUUCCCAAGCACUUCAGAUGCAAUU